UAGCGAAGGAGGCAAAACUUAUCAAUUCAUAAUGAAUUCAGCAACAUGAAUUUCCACUCGCUUGGAUGAAUUAAUUUGAACUGCACCGUGCGGUUUAAUUGCGGUCAAUAAGUCGGUCAUGGUGGGGUUCGGUUGAGGUUAUACUGCGGUUUAAUUUGUUAAGUUGCGAUAUUAACUACGGUUUUGUUCGCUUAUUUUGUUCGGUGCUGUACGCAUCGUUAAUAAACGGAACAAUGUAUUUAUGCCAAGAUAGUUGGAAAACAAAAGUACGAUACAAUCUCGAAUCGCGAUACAUAUUCAAAUUAUCAAAAAUGAUUUGCAUGUUCAGUAAAAUGUAUCAGUUCAUAAUGAAUUUAAAAGAUCUAAACGUUAAAAUGAAAUUUCUGGUUACGAAAACAUUUUUGAAUAUUUGAAUUUUUUUGAAAAUUUUAAAAGUUGUAAAAUACUAUAGUAUAUAUUGGCAGACAAGAUAUUGUGCAAGCAACUUGUUUUCUCGCACAAGAAACUUAUUAAAUAUACAUUAUACUUGGCUGCACAAUUGCACGGCGGAUACGGCACACUUUAUAGUAAAGUUCGUCUUAAUUCUACAUUUUUUCAUAUGAAAUGAAUAUUAGGUGUGAAUAAGGAUGU